CAGCUCUUUAAAAACAGAAAGAAACAAUGACAGAUUAGUCGUCACUCGUACACUUGUAAAGAAGUGAGGAAUUCACCUCCGCUCGACUUGCUCUGACUCCGCCGCGAACUGCGUAGAUCAUAUACAGACAGGGAGGGGUACAUUCAUCCGGAUUCCGCUUCAUGCCCACAGCUUGGAUGGCGGUAACGGGCCCCUGCAGAUUAGCCAGGGCAGUGCUGAAGUGGGGAGAGUCUAUCAGCAGGUCAUCCAAGUAAAGCACACUGUCACUGCACAGCCUGCACCUUGGCUUCCAAAGUCAGCGUCACCUCCUAAUAGCCACUGGGGGGGGGUCAAGGGAACGCGGCAAGCCCAGUGAUGACUCCAGAGGUAUCAUUGAUACAUGGCAGGGCGUAGGAACCAGUCUUGGUGAUGGUAUGGAGUUGGCAGUUGGUGACACAAGGCUGCUGUCCUCACCUGCAGCUACUAUCUCCCUGCUUUGUUCAACUUCUGCCUGCCUCUGUAAAUGUCUACAGUGUUGGGGUCGGCCUCUCCUGUCACUGAGUGCAGUUGCUCUCCACCCCUCUGGUGUGUGUCUUUGUCCAAGUACAGCUCCACCUAACUGACGGAGAAGGUGAAUAAGCGACGAGAAAAGCAGGGGCCCUCAGAGCUGCUGAAACAAAAAUGUCAGCAAACCAAGCCUUAGUCAGCUCCCAAUACCACAAUUCAUAUAGUGGAUUAUGUCUGGAAUACCAGCUCAAUUACUGUGUAUACUUCUAAAAAUGAUUUCUAUAUUAAUUUACAAGCCUUAUGUAUGCAGUGGGUAAACACCACAUAAUAAAUUUUGCAAAAGUUAGGCCUAAACGUCUAACCAUUGUAAUUCACUGCUAAUUAAACUCAAGCAUUUCAACUUUUUCGGUGACUUUAAAUGUAUGUUACACAUUGCCUGGGUCAUGUGACCCCUGAGUUUAUGCAGCAGGCAGUCAACCACAUUCUGUGUGAUUCUGAUCAGUGCUGCUUUGCAUUGAGGUGUGCAACUGUGAUAUUUGUAAGUAAAAUAACUCAUAAACAUCUUCUGAGGAUGAACAUGUAAAGCUAGUCUUCACAAUGUACUGGGAAACAUAGCAAGACCAGUAGGCAGUUCUCAUCACCCUGGUGCAAUACUGGUGGACAAUUUUACCAAAUAAAUAUAUAUAAUAUUCUUGAA